AUUGAACGCUGGCGGCAGGCCUAACACAUGCAAGUCGAGCGGAGCGCCGGUCGGGUGAGUAAUGCUAAGGAAUCUGCCUGGUAGUGGGGGAUAACGUCCGGAAACGGGCGCUAACACUGCAUACUAUCAGAUGAGCCUAGGUCCGAUUAGCUUGUUGGUGGGGUAAAGGCCAACCAAGGCGACGAUCCGUAACUGGUCUGAGAGGAUGAUCAGUCACACUGGAACUGAGACACGGUCCAGACUCCUACGGGAGGCAGCAGUGGGGAAUAUUGGACAAUGGGCGAAAGCCUGAUCCAGCCAUGCCGCGUGUGUGAAGAAGGUCUUCGGAUUGUAAAGCACUUUAAGUUGGGAGGCGUUACCAACAGAAUAAGCACCGGCUAACUUCGUGCCAGCAGCCGCGGUAAUUC
rnacentral:rRNA from 1 species